CAGCAGCCGCGGUAAUACGUAGGUGGCAAGCGUUGUCCGGAAUUAUUGGGCGUAAAGGGCUCGCAGGCGGUUUCUUAAGUCUGAUGUGAAAGCCCCCGGCUCAACCGGGGAGGGUCAUUGGAAAUUGGGAAACUUGAGUGCAGAAGAGGAGAGUGGAAUUCCACGUGUAGCGGUGAAAUGCGUAGAGAUGUGGAGGAACACCAGUGGCGAAGGCGACUCUCUGGUCUGUAACUGACGCUGAGGAGCGAAAGCGUGGGGAGCGAACAGGAUUAGAUACCCCGGUAGUCCCUGUCUCUUAUAU
rnacentral:rRNA from 1 species